rnacentral:rRNA from 1 species
UUAAUACAACCCUAUGCGGUGGAUCACUUGGCUCGCGAGUCGAUGAAGAGCGCAGCAAACUGCGUGAAUUAAUGUGAUUUGCAGGACACAUUGAUCAUCGAUAUCUUGAACGCAUAUUGCGGUUAUGGAUCGCUUCCAUGACCACACCUGUCUGAGGGUCGGUAUU